CCUUAUCAAAAUCAUCAUCACCUACCACGUUUUCCAGGGAAUAAUUUCCCAAAAAUCAUUAUUCAUCUUCGUUGUUUUCCCAAAAUUAGCAUCAUUUACAACGGUUUGCAUCUUCAUCUCUUCUCGAGUCGUUUCUUCUCCGUCUAAAUCUUUUCUUUCUUCAUCUCCAUCUUCAUAGAUAGAUUUCCCACUAUAUUUCAAGUAUUUUCUAUACUCAAUUUCGAAUUUAGGGUACAGGUUUUUGAUUUGAUUGAUUCUAUAUCUCCAGUAACCCUAAAUUCGAAAUUGGGUUAAUUGAUUGAAUUACUUUUGAGUGAGUUGGGUUUCCUGAUUUACAGAGAAAUCAUCCCCUUCCUUGAUGUGAUUGAUUGGAUUACUUUUGAAAUUAUGGUUUGUGCAAACUUUAGAUCGAUCGAAGAAAAUUUUGAAGUAAGAUUAAUGGCGCGUAUGAUAUGAACAAUUUGAGAUUCGCUGCCAGGUAAGGUUUCCGGUUUCCAACCACGUCGAAGUCCAAGAUUUAUUGAAAAAUAUGCUCAGCUGUAACAGCGGCGCCGUGUUACAUAUCAAGAUUUACUGAGAAACGUCGUAAUGCCUAUGCAAUAGGAAAACAAAAAUUGGAUGCAGAAACACCGCAGAAACAAGCACUUAAGCAAAUGAACAAGUUUAUAAAUCAUCUGGAGAGCAUGAAGCAGGAUCAAGUUUCACUCUCGGUCGAAGCCCCAGAGUUGAGCUGCAAAAGAAGAGAGCUUCAAUUAGAGAAGCGCUGCAGUGUAAUGAAAGAAAGACGAAUUUCAAUGGUUGAAAAUGAAAAACAGCAGAUUCUCGAACAACGCCGUAGAGCUUAUGAGAGUAGGUGAUGCAAUGAAUAAUGAGCACAGACCUGGACCAAGUAGUGGUAAGUUUUGAUAUUUCUCUGUAGAUUUCAGAUAUAUAUCACCCAUGUAAAUUCCAAGUAAUGUUUGUUGUUUUCCUCAAACAAGGAGACAUUGUAUAUGAGUGAAGGAAGAAUUUGAUAAUCAUUGAUAGACUUGCUGAAACAACGCAUUAUUAGCAACGCUUGAGUACCCAAAUUAGUAGUUGAAAUGUAAUUUGAUCUAACAGUAGCUCGCAAUAGUAUAACACCAUAUACACCAGUUUGAUUUUUUAUUG